ensembl:lncRNA
UGCAGAAUGAACUCUCAUCAGUGUCCCAGAAAUGGAAGUGUGGCUUUGAGGUCUGGGAAGCCCCACUGCUCUGGUGUGGUCCUGGGGUUCCUCAUGUAAGACAGAGACAAUACUUCCCAGGGUACCCAUGCUAAGACAGGUGCAGGCUCCAGGGACACCCUUUGUUCCCCAGCUCCCCAAGAGUGCAAUACUGGGUGGGCUUCAGUCUCCCAGGUUUCUACCUGGGCCGUGCCUGGCUCAGGAGAUGUGCAUAGAGAUUGAUGAGGGCAAAGCCAGAGGAGAGGUGGCUCCCUGGGUACCAACCCUGUGGCCUUUUCAAACUAGGAAUCUAGAAAGGGAGAGCAAGCCACUGACUUUGGAACCAGCACACACAAUUCAUGGGACUCUCCCAGUUCAUGGUCCCACAGCCCCAGGGCAAACCUCGUCUAUCCAGUGGCCUAACAAAUUCUACUGGAGACACAUUUCCGAGGCCCCAGGUGGGAACUUGAGGCCGUUUUGAGAGAGGGCGGGUGCUAGGACAGGUGCUGUGAUGGGGAGAGAGGGUGGGUGCUAGGACAGGUGCUGUGAUGGGGAGAGAGGGUGGGUGCUAGGACAGGUGCUGUGAUGGGGAG